rnacentral:rRNA from 1 species
GAGGCUUCGGCUGAGCGGAUAGUGUUCCUAAUCAGACUUCCAAGAAAAUCCUCUAAGCUUCAGACAUGUGGUGCCCGUACCACAAACCGACACAGGUAGUCGAGGAGAGAAUCCUAAGGUGCUCGAGUGAUCCGUGGCCAAGGAACUAGGCAAAUUGAACCUGUAACUUCGGGAUAAAGGUUCCCCUGUUUAUCAAUGGGGGCGCAGAGAAAUGGCCCUGGCGACUGUUUAACAAAAACACAAGGCUUUGCGAAAUUGAAAGAUGAAGUAUAAGGCCUGACACCUGCCCGGUGCCGGAAGGUUAAGAGGGGGAGUCAUUCUCAGCAAUGGGAAGAAGCUCUGAAUCGAAGCCCCGGUAAACGGCGGCCGUAACGAUAACGGUCCUAAGGUAGCGAAAUUCCUUGUCGGGUAAGUUCCGACCUGCACGAAUGGUGUAACGAUCUGGGCACUGUCUCAGCCACGAGCUCGGUGAAAUUGUAGUUCCGGUGAAGAUGCCGGAUACCCGCAACGGGACGGAAAGACCCCGUGAACCUUUACUAUAGCUUAACAUUGAUUUUGGGUAAGUGAUGUGUAGGAUAGGUCGGAGACUGUGAACCGGUUUCGCCAGGAAUCGGGGAGUCAACGUUGAAAUACGACCCUUCAUUUACCUGGAAUCUAAUCCGUCAACCGACGGAGACAUUGUUUGGUGGGUAGUUUGACUGGGGUGGUCGCCUCCAAAAAAGUAACGGAGGCUCCUCAAGGUGCCCUCAGCACGAUUGGUAACCGUGCGGAGAGUGUAAUGGCACAAGGGCGCUUGACUGUGAGACUGACAAGUCGAUCAGGUACGAAAGUAGAGCAUAGUGAUCCGGUGGUUCCGUAUGGAAGGGCCAUCGCUCAAAGGAUAAAAGGUACUCCGGGGAUAACAGGCUGAUCGCCGCCAAGAGCUCAUAUCGACGCGGCGGUUUGGCACCUCGAUGUCGGCUCGUCACAUCCUGGGGCUGAAGAAGGUCCCAAGGGUUCGGCUGUUCGCCGAUUAAAGUGGCACGCGAGCUGGGUUCAGAACGUCGUGAGACAGUUCGGUCCCUAUCUGUUGUGGGCGCUGGAGAUUUGAGAGAAACUGAUACUAGUACGAGAGGACCGUGUUGGACAGACCGCUAGUGUACCUGUUGUGGCGCCAGCUGCAUCGCAGGGUAGCUAUGUUUGGAACAGAUAAGCACUGAAAGCAUCUAAGUGCGAAGCUCGUCUCAAGAUGAGAUCUCCCUUAAGGGUCGUUGUAGACUACGACGUUGAUAGGCUGCAGGUGUAAAGGUGGCAACAUCAAAGCUGAGCAGUACUAAUUACCCGU